GAAACGCGAUAGUUAAUGUGAAUUGCAGAAUUCAGUGAAUCAUCGAGUCUUUGAACGCACAUUGCGCCCAUAGGUAUUCCUUUGGGCACGUCUGUUUGAGCGUCAUUACAACCCUCAGCUAACCGCUGGUUUUGAACCUGAACGGGUGACACCGCGCCGGUUUUAAAGUUGUAAGCUCUGCUGGCCGCUCUGCCCAACCAGAACAUAGUAAGCACUACUUGUCCGGGUGAAGCUGAACGGUACGGCCUGAACAAAACCUACCCACUCUCAAGGUUUGACCUCAGAUCAGACAAGGAUACCCGCUGAACUUAAGC
rnacentral:misc_RNA from 1 species